rnacentral:rRNA from 1 species
AGCGAACGCUGGCGGCAGGCCUAACACAUGCAAGUCGAACGGACCCUUCGGGGUUAGUGGCGGACGGGUGAGUAACACGUGGGAACGUGCCCUAAGGUACGGAAUAACGCAGAGAAAUUUGCGCUAAUACCGUAUGUGCCCUUCGGGGGAAAGAUUUAUCGCCUUAGGAGCGGCCCGCGUCUGAUUAGCUAGUUGGUGAGGUAAUGGCUCACCAAGGCGACGAUCAGUCGCUGGUCUGAGAGGAUGACCAGCCACACUGGGACUGAGACACGGCCCAGACUCCUACGGGAGGCAGCAGUGGGGAAUCUUGCGCAAUGGGCGAAAGCCUGACGCAGCCAUGCCGCGUGAAUGAUGAAGGUCUUAGGAUUGUAAAAUUCUUUCACCGGGGACGAUAAUGACGGUACCCGGAGAAGAAGCCCCGGCUAACUUCGUGCCAGCAGCCGCCGUAAUAC